rnacentral:lncRNA from 1 species
AUGCAGGGGACUCUGGUGCAGGGUCCCCCGUGCACGGCUCCGGUGCAGGGACCCCGGUGCACAGCGCCGGUGCAGGGACCCCCGUGCAGGGCCCCGGGGGGCGCCGCGCGCACGUGGCCGGGCAGGGGCAGGGGCAGCGGCAGGGGCAGCGGCAGGGGCAGCCCGGCCGCGCCGCCCCCUCCCCCCGCGCGCCCAUUGGCCCCGGCGCGUUCCACAGACAAAGGCCGGCGCCCCUGCGGGCCCGGCGCACCGCCCUCAUUGGCGGGGGCGGGGAGGGUAGGCGGGGAGAAGGCGGGCGGGGGCGUGGCGACACUGACCCCGCCCCAAUCUGCCUUAAAAGGCGCGGGAAGGGGCGUGGCCGUGGCUGCGCGCGGGGGGGGAGGGGCGGUCCCGCGGCAGGGCCCCGCCCCCGCCCGCGGCGCUCGCUCCGGGGAGCGGGGCCCGGCUCGGCCCGGCCCGGCUCGGUUCGGCUCCCGCGGCGCCCGGCCCCGCGGCGCUCCGGAGGCAGGUACGCACGGGCGGGGCGGCCCGGCCCGGUUUGGCCCGGCCCGGCAAUCGUGGGCACAGCUCGGCGCUGGUGCCGGGGGCUGCGGGCGGGGGGCGCCGUGUGCACGCGCGUGUGCAAGGGGGGGCGUGCGCACAGUGCAUCCUUGUGCAUCGAUGUGCAAUGCGUGUGGUGCACACGUGUUUCGGCGUGCAGUGUGCAUGGUGCACGCGUGUGCGGGUUUGCAACAUGCCUGGUGUGUUCUUGUGCAUCAAUGUGCAAUGCGUGUGGUGCACAUGUGUUUCGGUGUGCAAUGUGCAUGGUGCACGCGUGUGCGGGUGUGCAACAUGCACGGUGUGUCCUUGUGCAUCGAUGUGCAACAUGUGUGGUGCACACGUGUUUCUAUGUGCAAUGUUCAUGGUGCACGUGUGUGCAGGUGUGCAACGUGCACGGUGUGUCCUUGUGUGUGGACGUGCAGCGUGCACAGUGCAUGCAUGUGUGUUGGUGUGCAACGUGCGUGGUGUGUACCUGUGUGUGCAUUUCGCUGCGCAGGGUGUGUUGGUGCGCACGUUCACAGAUUUUUUUUUUUUUUUAAAUGAGGAGAGGGAAAGGAAAGGGGAGGGAAGCAACUCGGCUCCUAGGCUGCGCAGCAGAAGAGAGACAAGACAGAGGAGCUUCUUUUAAUUACAGUCGGUUUUGCGUGUGCACAUGUGCUUAUGCAUAUGUGCGUGUGCAUGUGCCUGCCAGCAGGAUAGGGGAGCUUCUGGGUGCGAAACGCGUGUGCAGGCCCGUGGCGGGGUGCACGCUCGCCUGCCUCGUCGCGCAGGGGAGCCGCGCGCUUGCGUCCCGGCGCACGAGGGACCGGCGCCGCCGUCCCCGGCCGUGCCCUGCGCGUGCUGCACCCCGGGCGCCCGGUGCCGGCUGCGUGCAUGGCACGUCGUCUCGGCUCUGCCCUUGUUUUGAAUGACUUCACCCAGYGGCUGGCUGUCCUCCAGGGGUGAGCGGAGAAAGCUCCCCUCGCUGCAGACGGACGCUGCCGCUCCGCUGGUUCCAGUUUUUUGCUCUUUUGUCCCUCCGGUUGCUCUUUGUCUUGCUGCUGCAUCUUUGUGCUCCGGCGGCUCCUCGGAGGGGGGGAGCAGCAGUUGCGAACGGCUCUCGGGUCUGAGGCUCGUCGGCGCUAACAUGCAAAGGGGGCUAAGCCAGCGCAGGGAGUUUUGUAGGAGGAAAACCCGGAGCAGCACCCGGGGCUCCUCGCAUCAGCGCCGGGGCAAGCAGCACGGUCCCGCUUGGCAACACGGGGCACCGGGGAGCCAGUGUCGUUUCGGAUCCUCGGGCUGCCUCUGCCUCCCUGUGGUCCUGCUCCGGUCUCCGCAGCCUGGCUGCUCUUUCCUGUGUAGCUAAAGAGUGAAUGUGCUCACGCUUGAGAGGCGGCUGCACCUAAGUGAUAGCCAGACCGGCAGUGCAAGUUGCACGCGUGUGUGCGUGCACGUGCAUCACCCACAUUCCCACUCGUGGCUGUCUGCCGACUGCAGGGGAGAGAAAAGAGCUGCUUCUGCUGGAGGCUUUAUGGAGAUUCGCUGCUGGCGCAAACAGUUGAGG